CAUGCAAGUCGAACGCAGUAGCAAUACUGAGUGGCAAACGGGUGAGUAAUAUGUGGGAAUCUGCCUUUUGGUUUGGAAUAACACGGGGAAACUUGUGCUAAUACCGAAUAAGCCCUUACGGGGAAAGUUUUAAUGCCGAAAGAUGAGCCCGCACUUGAUUAGCUAGUUGGUAAGGUAAAAGCUUACCAAGGCAACGAUCAAUAGCUGUUCUUAGAGGAAGACCAGCCACAUUGGGACUGAGACACGGCCCAGACUCCUACGGGAGGCAGCAGUGGGGAAUCUUGCACAAUGGGGGAAACCCUGAUGCAGCGAUGCCGCGUGAGUGAAGAAGGCCUUUGGGUUGUAAAACUCUUUCGUCGGGGAAGAAAAUGACUGUACCCGAAUAAGAAGGUCCGGCUAACUUCGUGCCAGCAGCCGCGGUAAUACGAAGGGACCUAGCGUAGUUCGGAAUUACUGGGCUUAAAGAGCUCGUAGGUGGUUAAAAAAGUUGAUGGUGAAAUCCCAAGGCUUAACCUUGGAACUGCCAUCAAAACUUUUUAGCUAGAGUGUGAUAGAGGUAAGUGGAAUUUCUAGUGUAGAGGUGAAAUUCGUAGAUAUUAG
rnacentral:rRNA from 1 species